UCGGACAAAUCCUGGUUGGCCUAAACCAUCAUGAUUGUAUUCCAACCAACCUGAAUAGAAAAGAGUACAAUUGGUGUGGUAUCUGUUUGGAUCUAUGGUGUCUCUCCUCAUUACGAUCUUGCUAUGCCACAUGUGUUGGGCUUGGCACUUGUAAGGACUAUCAUCUCCUUAAAAGUUGGCUCAAAAGUGGCUCAUAUUGUCGACACUGGAUAUGACUUGCUUCCUACCAGAUUGCCUCAUAACUCAUAGAGGGAUGUAAGGUUAGGCUCCCCAGAGACCAGUUAGUAUCUUGAAAGGUGCAUCUCUGGAAUGGGA
rnacentral:lncRNA from 1 species